rnacentral:rRNA from 1 species
CAGUAGCCACGGUAAUACGGAGGGUGCAAGCGUUAUCCGGAUUUAUUGGGUUUAAAGGGUCCGUAGGCGGAUCUGUAAGUCAGUGGUGAAAUCUCACAGCUUAACUGUGAAACUGCCAUUGAUACUGCAGGUCUUGAGUAAAUUUGAAGUGGCUGGAAUAAGUAGUGUAGCGGUGAAAUGCAUAGAUAUUACUUAGAACACCAAUUGCGAAGGCAGGUCACUAAGAUUUAACUGACGCUGAUGGACGAAAGCGUGGGGAGCGAACAGGAUUAGAUACCCGUGUAGUCCCUGUCUCUUAUAC